GACGAACGCUGGCGGCGUGCUUAACACAUGCAAGUCGAACGGAAAGGCCCUGCUUUUGUGGGGUGCUCGAGUGGCGAACGGGUGAGUAACACGUGAGUAACCUGCCCUUGACUUUGGGAUAACUUCAGGAGACUGGGGCUAAUACCGGAUAGGAGCUCCUGCUGCAUGGUGGGGGUUGGAAAGUUUCGGCGGUUGGGGAUGGACUCGCGGCUUAUCAGCUUGUUGGUGGGGUAGUGGCUUACCAAGGCUUUGACGGGUAGCCGGCCUGAGAGGGUGACCGGCAAAAUUGGGAAUGAGAUACGGCCCAGACUCCUACGGGAGGCAGCAGUGGGGAAUAUUGCAAAAUGGGCGGAAGCCUGAUGCAGCAACGCCGCGUGCGGGAUGACGGCCUUCGGGUUGUAAACCGCUUUAGCCUGUGACGAAGCGUGAGUGACGGUAAUGGGUAAAGAAGCACCGGCUAACUACGUG
rnacentral:rRNA from 1 species